rnacentral:rRNA from 1 species
UACGGGGGGAGCAAGCGUUGUUCGGAUUUACUGGGCGUAAAGGGCGCGUAGGCGGUCAGCACAAGUCAGUUGUGAAAUCUCCGGGCUUAACUCGGAAAGGUCAACUGAUACUGUGCGACUAGAGUGCGGAAGGGGCAACUGGAAUUCUCGGUGUAGCGGUGAAAUGCGUAGAUAUCGCUUGGAACGCCAAAGGUGAAAACAGGUUGCUGGGGUUGUGCCGACGCUGAGACACGAAAGCCAGGGGAGCAAACGGG